AAUCUCUGGUCCUGGGUGAGAUUGAGAUGUGAGUCCAGCUCGAAAUCCCUCUGUUCUUGUGGAUGCUGCGUGAUGUGUUUCUCUGUUACAAAUCAGUACCACGAAAUAACAGACGGUAUAUAACUCAGUAUAUGAUUAAACAAAACGAACGAACAGGAUGUUAAUGAUCAAUGCCGUUGUGAAUUGAAUGAACUAAACUGAUGAACUGAAACAGAAACGGGUGUAGAAGGAAUCAAACUGAGCGAAGGACAACCAAACUAAAAGACAUUCAAGUCAAGUCAAGUCAAGUCAAGUCACUUUUAUUGUCAUUUCGACCAUAACUGCUGGUACAGUACAUAGUAAAAACGAGACAACGUUUUUCAGGACCAUGGUGUUACAUGCCACAGUACAGAAACUAGACUGAACUACGUAAAAAAAACAACACAGAGAAAGCUACACUGGACUACAAACCUACACUGGACUGCAUAAAGUGCACAAAAACAGUGCAGGCAUUACUAUAAAUAAUAAACAGGACAGUAGGGCAAGGUGUCAGUCCAGGCUUCAGGUAUUGAGGAGUCUGAUAGUUUGGGGGAAGAAACUGUUACAUAGUCUGGUCGUGAGAGCCCGAAUACUUCGGAGCCUUUUCCCAGAUGGCAGGAGGGAGAAGAGAUUGUAUGAGGGGUGCAUGGGGUCCUUCAUAAUGCUGUUUCCUUUGCGGAUGCAGCAUGUAGUGUAAAUGUCCGUAAUGGUGGGAAGAGAGACCCUGAUGAUCUUCUCAGCUGACUUCACUAUCCGCUGCAGGAUCUUGCGAUCCGAGAUGGUGCAAUUUCCGAACCAGGCAGUGAUGCAGCUGCUCAGGAUGCUCUCAAUACAACCCCUGUAGAAUGUGAUGAGGAUGAGGGUGGGAGAUGGACUUUCCUCAGCCUUCGCAGAAAGUAGAGACGCUGCUGGGCUUUCUUUGCUAUGGAGCUGGUGUUGAGGGACCAGGUGAGAUUCUCCGUCAGGUGAACACCAAGAAAUUUGGUGCUCUUAACCAUCUCUACCGAGGAGCCUUCGAUGUUCAACGGGGAGUGGUCGCUUCGUGCCCUCCUGAAGUCGACAACCAUCUCUUUUGUUUUGUUCACAUUCAGAGACAGUGUAACACAGAGAUGCAACAGAAUCAAUGGAAACCUGUACACGAAGACUGACAAACAACCAAUGUGCAAAAGAAGACAAACUGUGCAAAUAAAAAAGUCAAUAAAUAAUACCGAGAAUAAGUUGUAGAGCCAUUGAAAGUGAGUCCAUAGGUUGUCCAUAGGGGGCUGUUUUUUAGUCCUUUCUCAUAUCCAUUCUGAAAGAGGCGUGGCAUCAAUAUCUGACCCAGUCUGUACUCAACAACUGCCCCUCAAAUGUGAGGCAGCCCAAUUCCCAAAAGCCUCCAAGGAAGUCCAUAAUAGCAACAUUUGUUACUGUUCUCUGAUGGUCAGUGACACCUGACCUCUGACCUGCUGACACAUGCCAUUCCCUCUUCACUGUCCCUCCUUGCUCUCAGCUUCCUUUCCCUUAGCUCCAGGUCAGGUUUCUGGAAUGGAGUUAGUGUAAUUCAGACCCAAAAGAUUCUGACAGAGGCUAAGUAUCUCAUAAGUUGCAGCUUCUGAGUAAUUACUAUUUAAUUUUGGUUUUACAUAAGCCUUUUCCCAGCACUUAGUCUUGUCUUUGCUUCCAUCUGUAACUCCAGCGUCUCAUAAGCCUUGAUAGAGGUCUUUGCUGCCUGCCUGAACCUCUUCCGUUCAAGUAACCUCACUGGGAACAAUCCAUUUCGACAAACUCUGAUCCAUUUCUGUUCCAUGUCACCUACAGCAUUUUAGUGUCAUCUGCAAACUCGAUUCUAAAAGGAGCUAUUUCUGGAAAUUUCAUCACACAUCUUCCAGGGCUCCUGCAUAAUCAGACUCCCUUUGUUUUACCUCACUUCCAAAUAUCUCCUGAUAAAUAAAUAAAAGUAGGAAAGAAAAUUCCUGAAUGUUCUUUUGAUUUUCUCCUGGGUUAUUCAGAGCAAUCUACAAGAGAACAUUCCAUAAACUGGGGUAUCUACGGGGCCACCUUGCAUUAACAGCAACACAUUAAAUAUCUUUUCCUCCCUCUGUAAUCCUUUCUAAUCUUCCCAAAACUGCCUUUGCCCCAGAAGCUCUCCCUUCAAUCAACCGUACUACAUUUUCCAAAGCUUUGAGCUGGAACAGUUAUUGUUGUUUCCACUGUUCACGCUGCCUCGUCUCAAAGAAACCCUGAUAGCUAACUAUGCAGCAACUAUCUGGGUGAAGCAACAAAGAGCUCAACAACAGUAUGGGAAACAAAGACAUCAAGGUAGGCACGUGAUGAAUGUGUGAAACACUUUGUCUGAAUUCCAUAUGCUUUAUUUUUUUUAAAACCUGCAUAAAGAAAACUAUAUGUCUAUUGAACAGUGUCAAAUUAUUAAGUCUUGUAGAAAACUGAUUAAAGUGCCAUUCUGAGAAGUAAGUGCCUUACUGAGAGCUUCACUUUCCACGAGUUGGAAUGAACCCAUUAAAAUGAUUUAUAUGAAGGUUAAAGUAGAAGGGCUUGCAAUAUAAAAGAUUAAUUUCUUGUGACUGGUGUAGAUUUGACUAGAAGCUCAGAAGGAGUUAUGAAGCUAAGAAACAAAAUGUGGACCAAAAUCAGCCAAUCUUCGUCUUUUUGAAAGUGCAAGCAAAGAAUGAGAUUUAUAUAGUCACUGACACAACUCCAGUGUCACAAAGUCAUAUUGCUCUGAAAAAAAUGCCUUCAGCCCACCAAGUCCGUCCUAACAUUAAGUAGCCAU